AUCAGCAUGGAGUCUUUGAAGAUUAUUGAAGCAUGACCUACCACUGGAGGAGGUCCUUGGCUAAAUGUAAGAGAAACCAGCAGUUAAGGGGUGAUCAGCAGGAAAGUGACACUAAUUUUAGCCUCUCUUUUUCUUUUGACUCAGAAGAAUGACUACUAAACAGCUGCACUGGGACAUCAAAAUUGCACUGCUGACAGCUGCAUCAACACAUUGCCAACAGCUCUUCCAGGCAAAGCCAACUGGCGCCCCAGGGGGUGGCAACAGUACCAUGUCUUGAUCUGAGAAAUUCCUACAGUCACUGAAAGGACAACAUCUCCCUCUCUGCCUGCACACAGUAUCAAAUGGUUUGGUUCCCCAUGGUCAGUUCUAGAUCUGAGAUUCAAAAGAUGGCAUCAAUAGGCUGAAGUCAGGGUCCCUGCUCCAUCUGACAGUUUUUGGUAAUCCUUGAAGACUCGAAAGGAAACCCUGGUGAACAUUCUGCUAUUUUAAUGAGGACAGCAUUCCAGAAGCACUCAUUGCCUUCUCAAUCUAGGACAGCUUGAGGGAUGUGGAUCUGGAAUUCUUGGAGACAUUGCUCAGGAGAAUUGGCAGUUAUGGAGUAGUGACGCAUUAUAGGUGUCUAUAAUACUUUACAGCAUGCCACUGAAAAGGGAAAAGCAGCUGACGUCAUGAAAGGCAGAUUCUCCCCCUAACUCUGCCAAGCUUCUGUGUAACCAUAGCCAAUUAAUUUAUUUACUUCUACUGCUAAACUUGGACAGAGUCUCCUUCUUAGUAAAACUUUUCAAACUUGCUGAUACAGUGCUGUGUGAGAGUGCCAAGGUAUUACUGCUCCUGAUAUAAUGUGCAAAACAUGAUAGGUCUUUGCUAUUAAUACUUUAGAAAGGUAAAAUAGGCUUGUCCCCUUGAGUAUUGGUUUGGGGUUUUUUACCUCAGCUAUAGAACUGGUUAUUUAUUUUCCUACAUACUUAUGUUUGUUAUUCUUCCUGCAAACCUUGCCUUCUAUUAUACUAACAUUCAGAGAAGAUGACAGCCCUGAUUUUAUGUAGUAGAUCAGCCACAAAAUCCUGUCCACUUGUUUAUCUACCCUAGCUGAACUCUGUGUAAGACAGGCGAGCAGGGUGGGAUAAUAAAAAGCCAAUCUGGGAUUAACUGAAUGGGUACCUCCUCCCAGUCACACCUUCUGGCAUCAACUGACCCCUGUGAGACAUGGCCAUAUACUACUCUUUCAGCAUAAAUCAUUCUUGGAAGCAGACCUAAAAUCACUGAAACGGCACAGUUCACAAACUGUUUUCAGAGUCGGGGAAAAACCACAUUCAAAGUUAAUCUUAAGUCUUGCCUUUCAUCACUGGUAUUUUCAAGUACAAACUUGACUCCUGCAUUGCCUUUUUAUAGAACCAGCCUCACCAAAGUUCAUCUGCUGUUCACCUGAACAGUCCCAUUCCCAGAGAAAAAACUGCUGUUCUCCUGAGAUCAAUGUCACUGAGCACUAUCCUCUGUGUCAUGCAACCCUGACCUCAGCUUCAACUUGGUACAAGCAAGAUCAGUUACCCAAUAGGAAGCUCCAACUUCAGCAGGAUUUCCACAAAAAUACCCGAAAGGACAACUCAGGGCAUUUUUAUCCAACUUUUCCUUGGGGUUUUUUUUUUUUUUUUUCCCCAAAACAGAUGCAGCACACACACAAAAAAUGGCUGCUGCUCUCCAAACUCUUCUGCUAUUUCAUUCUAAAAAUAGCUCCUGUGCAAUCAAUCCCAAUUGUUGAACGGCUGGAGGAACUGUGAGACAAGGACCCAAAGAGCUGCAAUUAAGCAUGGUAACUAUAGCACAGAGUGCUUAUCAAUUAAUGACACCACACUACUGUUUCAUAAUACAAAUAACUCAGGAAAUGUAGAAAGACAGGAAUUACUUCAGGAAAUGUAGUUUAUAUGUUCAUUAUAUAAUUAUUUAUAUUUUUAUUAGAUGUGGUUUCAGAGACAAAUGAAUUAUUUAUUUAAAGUAUUACUUAAAUAUGAUCUUCAUUACAGCUUCUUUCUACCUCAGGCCCCUGAUUCAUUUCCAUCUGUUUUCAAUACACUCAGAACUAAGUUUCAGAUUUAAAAGGAUCUGCCUUCUGAAAUAUAAUGAGAUAUGAAACCACUCAUAUUGGGGGAAGAAAGUAGGAAAUAUUUGGGGGGGUGGGGGUGGGAGGGCAGUGUGUGUAUGCUUAUUUUCUUGUUAAUUACCCAGUUUUCUGAACUCAACCCUUGAACCUCCCCAUGCAGAACACUGUAUUUUCUUAUUAUUUGUUAUUGCUCUUAAAAAAUAAUAACAGAUCUUCCCAGUUCUACUCAUCUUAGAAACCUUUCCUUUAGUGGUAGUUUUAGUGUAAUGGUUGUUCCAAUGGGACUGCCUGCAUGAAUAAGGAGGAAAUUGACUGAAGACUUGUGAAUCAGUUACAAAGUUUUUAAAAUGAACCCACUUAGUUUAGGAUAGUUGAGAGGGCAAGGCUUUUCUUCAGUAUACUGCAUUUACUUGCAGGGCUUUACUAUGUGUGAUAAACUUUAGUAUCUUCGAGUUUCCUAUUUUAUUAUUUCCUAAGAUCAAGUUGUUAUGAACUGCUUCUGGGGUGGUGUUUUUUGGUUUGGUUUGGUUUUUCUGUGGUUUUGUUUUCAAAAUACAAGAACUAAUUUUCAGAGGUGCUCAGCUUCAGAAUUUCAGCUUCAGAGUGCAGACUGGCUCUAGGAAUAUAGGGUAUCUGUAAUAUUUCUGUAUUAUUAGAAUUCUGAGUUGAAGUAAGGGCCCUGCUUUUGCUAUGUGUUGUAAAAUAUGCAGGUACUACAUGACUGAGCUCACAACUGAAGUAGUCAAGACAAAAGGAAGAAGAUGGAAAACGGUUAUUUCUUCUUAUAGGGGAAGUGGAAGGACAGAAAGAGGAUUUGUAAAAUGACAAAUCCAAACAGGGGGCCCCAGCUCCAUCAUGAUUUCAGGGUUCAGAAAAAUGACAGGUAC